rnacentral:rRNA from 1 species
UACGUAGGGGGCAAGCGUUGUCCGGAUUUAUUGGGCGUAAAGAGCGUGUAGGCGGCUUGACAAGUCUGCUGUGAAAACUCGAGGCUCAACCUCGAGCUGUCGGCGGAAACUGUCAGGCUAGAGUCCGGGAGAGGGAUGCAGAAUUCCAGGUGUAGCGGUGAAAUGCGUAGAUAUCUGGAGGAAUACCGGUGGCGAAGGCGGCAUCCUGGACCGGCAUUGACGCUGAGGAGCGAAAGCCAGGGGAGCAAACGGG